rnacentral:ncRNA from 1 species
UGGUAGAGGCGCGGUGCGUCAAGAGUACCUUCUCCGGCAAACAGGCAGGAUGGAGCAGGGAAAGGGGCCGCCGCCGAGGCGCUGUUUCGUUUGCCUGGACGAACAGUAAGCCGGGCCGCAGGAGAAGAUUCUGCGGACUGUCACGCAAGUGGAGAGCUGUCG